rnacentral:lncRNA from 1 species
GUUAUUUUCUUUCAUCAAUUCAACUUGUACUAGAUCUAAACACGAGAAAUAUACUAAUCUAGGGUUCUUGAAGAGUUUUAGAGAUGGAUUCAUCACAAUACUUGAGAAAUCAAGAGAUGUUCUUCAUCCCUUCUUCUCCUCACUUUUGUAAGUUGGUUACAAUCAUGUCUAGCUAAAUUUCUCUUGUUGCUGGGAUUAGAUGUAGCUAUUUUGUGAUCAUGUACUCAAUUCAAUAUUAAUAUAUAUGUUUUAUUUAUCAAUC